rnacentral:rRNA from 1 species
UGCUUGACUCAAAGAUUAAGCCAUGCACGUCUAAGUAUAAGCGAUUAUACUGCGAAACUGCGGAUGGCUCAUUAUAUCAGUACCAAUCCAUCUGACGAGAAUUCCUACUUGGAUAACUGUAGUAAUUCUAGAGCUAAUACAUGCAAAGAGUGUGGACCGGGGGCGACCCCGGGAAGCAUGUGUUUAUUAGAUUCAGAACCGACGUGGGGCAUCUCAAACUCGCCGCAAGGCGGGGCUCCACCUCUCAGUGGUGAUUCAUGGUAACUUUACACGAAUCGGGGGCUUCGGUCUUCGAUGGUGCAAACGAAGUUCUGCCCUAUCAACUUUCGAAGGUAACGUAGGGGGUUACCUUGGUCGUAACGGGUAACGGGGAAUCAGGGUUCGAUUCCGGAGAGGGAGCCUGAGAGACGGCUACCACUUCCAAGGAAGGCAGCAGGCGCGCAAAUUACCCAAUCCCGACACGGGGAGGUAGUGACAAGAAAUAUCGAUGUAGGACCCUUUCGGGUACUACGAUCGAAAUGAGAACAAUUUAAAAGCCUUAACGAGUAACGAUUGGAGGGCAAGUCUGGUGCCAGCAGCCGCGGUAAUUCCAGCUCCAAUAGUGUAUAUUAAAGUUGUUGCGGUUAAAAAGCUCGUAGUUGGACCUUGGGCUGGGAGGGCGACCCUCCGUCUCCCUGGUCGAGCGGCGACGCGGUGCGAGCCCGUCGUCAUCGGCCGUUCGGGGGGGCGGAUCGAAGGGGCGCCCUCUCUAACCGUUCGAGAUAGUUCGUCACAUUGUGGUCUCCCGGUUGGGUUCGCCCGGUCGGGCGAUCGUGUCGUUCACUUUACUUUGAAGAAAUUUGAGUGUUUAAAGCAGGCAACAUUCGUAUCCGAAGACGUUAGCAUGGGAUAAUGAAAGACGACUCGUCCUCAUCUUCGUUGGUUCUUGAGGAGCGAGUAAUGAUCGAUAGGGACGGUCGGGGUCGGUGGUACUGAGCGGCUAGAGGUGAAAUUCUAUGACCCGCUCAAGACCGACGAGAGCGAAAGCAUUCGACAAGGAUGUUUUCAUUGAUCAAGAACGAAAGUUGAGGGAUCGAAGAUGAUCAGAUACCGUCGUAGUCUCAACCGUAAACGAUGUCGACUCGGGAUCGGAGGGCGUUACAUGGAUGACCCCUCCGGCACCGUGUGAGAAAUCAUAAGUAACCAGACUCCGGGGGGAGUAUGGUCGCAAGGCUGAAACUUAAAGGAAUUGACGGAAGGGCACCACCAGGAGUGGAGUCUGCGGCUUAAUUUGACUCAACACGGGGAAACUUACCAAGUCCGAACACGACGAGGAUUGACAGAUCAAUAGCUCUUUCUUGAUUUUGUGAAGAGUGGUGCAUGGCCGUUUUUAGUUGGUGGAGUGAUCUGUCUGGUUAAUUCCGUUAACGAACGAGACCUUAACCUGCUAAAUAGGGGCACGAACGCGGGGGUUCGGGGAGGGACCCGCAAGGGUUUCCGACUCGGCCCUCACAAUCUUGUUUCGCGAACCCUUCUUAGAGGGACCAUUCAUCCACCAAGUGAACGGAAGUUUAAGGCAAAAACAGGUCUGUGAUGCCCUCAGAUGUUUUGGGCUGCACGCGCAUUACACUGUUACGUGCAACGAGUCAGAAACGACCCGAACCCUGAUGGGUGGGGUAAGCUUUUAGAGCGUAACGUGAUGGGGAUUGUGUUUUGCAAUUAUCACACAUGAACGAGGAAUUCCUAGUAAGCGUAAGUCAUCAACUUGCGCUGAUUACGUCCCUGCCCUUUGUACACACCGCCCGUCGCUCCUACCGAUUGAACGGCCCGAUGAGAACUCGGGAUGGAAGCGUUCCGACCCGUCCGCGAGGGUGUGUCGGUCCACGGCCAGAACCCGUUCAAAUCUUGUCGUUUAGAGGAAGGAGAAGUCGUAACAAGGUUUCCGUAGGUGAACCUGCAGAAGGAUCA